UUGACGGGGCCCGGCACAAGCGGUGGAGCAUGUGGUUAAUUUCGACGCAACGCGCAGAACCUUACCUGGGCUUGACAUCCCGAUCGCACUUUCUGGAACCAGAGAGGGUCAGUUCGGCUGGAUCGGUGACAGGUGCUGCAUGGCUGUCGUCAGCUCGUGUCGUGAGAUGUUGGGUUAAGUCCCGCAACGAGCGCAACCCUCGUCCUUAGUUGCCAGCAUUAAGUUGGGCACCCUAAGGAGACUGCCGGUGUUAAACCGGAGGAAGGCGGGGAUGACGUCAAGUCCUCAUGGCCCUUAUGUCCAGGGCUACACACGUGCUACAAUGGCCGGUACAAAGGGUAGCAAGACCGCGAGGUGGAGCCAAUCCCAAAAAGCCGGUCUCAGUUCGGAUUGGAGUCUGCAACUCGACUCCAUGAAGUUGGAAUCGCUAGUAAUCGUGGAUCAGCAUGCCACGGUGAAUACGUUCCCGGGCCUU
rnacentral:rRNA from 1 species